rnacentral:lncRNA from 1 species
CUGCAUUUAAAAAUGUGAUAAUGACUUUGUUUUUUAGUGUUGAUCAUAUUGGAGGAGAGCCUACAAAUAGGCUGAUUGAUCGACUUCUACUUCAACCGUUUAGGGUUUUUUAGACACUCUUUGUUUAGGAAUUUUUCUUAAAAAGAUAUUGUAUGUAAUGUGAGGUAUUAGGGGGAGUGAUUUGUAACAAUUUGAGUUCGACUUUGGAGCCGUGAUUAUCGUAUGGAAAUGGUAUAUUGUGCUGCGAUUCUCGCUUUACUUAUCUCUUUGACUCACUUACGUUUUUGGACUGAUGAUGCAAACUCUCUAUUUCUAUCCAACUUCUAUUUUAGUAGAAGUUAGAAUGAAAUUGUAAUUUAAAUGCAAACUGAAAGCUUUUGCACUUUGUAUUUGUAUUUGUUUUUCUCUUUAUUGUUUCUCCUUCAACAAAGGAUCAUUUUUGUUUUUAAUA